GACGAACGCUGGCGGCGUGCUUAACACAUGCAAGUCGAACGGAAAGGCCUGCUUUCCCUUGUGGUUUGCGGGUACUCGAGUGGCGAAGGGGUGAGUAACACGUGAGUGAUCUGUUCCCAACUUGGGUAUAAGCCUGGGAAACUGGGUCUAAUUCUCGUUAGGACUGCAGGGUGGUGCCUGUGGUGGAAAACGAUUUUCUUGUGGUUGGGGAUGAGCUCGCGGCCUAUCAGCUUGUUGGUGGGGUAAUGGCCUACCAAGGCGGCGACGGGGAGCCGGCCUGAGAGGGUGGACGGCGACAUUGGGACUGAGAGACGGCCCAGACGCCUACGGGAAGCAGCAGUGGGGAAUAUUGCACAGUGAGCGGAAGCCUGAUGCAGCGACGCCGCGUAGAUGAUGACGGCCUUCGGGUUGUAAACUCCUUUCGACCGCGAGGAAGCCACCUGGUUGGAAGGGUGGUGACGGUAGUGGUAGAAGAAGCACCGGCUAACUACGUG
rnacentral:rRNA from 1 species